rnacentral:rRNA from 1 species
CAGUUCGGAUUGAAGGCUGAAAUUCGCCUUCAUGAAGCUGGAAUUGCUAGUAAUGGCAGGUCAGCAUACUGCCGUGAAUACGUUCCCGGGCCCUUGUACACACCGCCCGUCACACCAUGAGAGUUGGAAAUACCCGAAGCCUGUGAGCUAACUGUAAAGAGGCAGCAGUCGAAGGUAGAGCCAAUGAUUGGGGUGAAGUCGUAACAAGGUAAC